rnacentral:rRNA from 1 species
AGAGUUUGAUCCUGGCUCAGGACGAACGCUGGCGGCGCGCCUAACACAUGCAAGUCGAACGAGAGAUGAGGAGCUUGCUCUUCAAAUCGAGUGGCGAACGGGUGAGUAACGCGUGAGGAACCUGCCUCAAAGAGGGGGACAACAGUUGGAAACGACUGCUAAUACCGCAUAAGCCCACGGCUCGGCAUCGAGCAGAGGGAAAAGGAGCAAUCCGCUUUGAGAUGGCCUCGCGUCCGAUUAGCUAGUUGGUGAGGUAACGGCCCACCAAGGCGACGAUCGGUAGCCGGACUGAGAGGUUGAACGGCCACAUUGGGACUGAGACACGGCCCAGACUCCUACGGGAGGCAGCAGUGGGGAAUAUUGCACAAUGGGGGAAACCCUGAUGCAGCGACGCCGCGUGGAGGAGGAAGGUCUUCGGAUUGUAAACUCCUGUUGUUGAGGAAGAUAAUGACGGUACUCGACAAGGAAGUGACGGCUAACUACGUGCCAGCAGCCGCGGUAAAACGUAGGUCACAAGCGUUGUCCGGAAUUACUGGGUGUAAAGGGAGCGCAGGCGGGAGAACAAGUUGGAAGUGAAAUCCAUGGGCUCAACCCAUGAACUGCUUUCAAAACUGUUUUUCUUGAGUAGUGCAGAGGUAGGCGGAAUUCCCGGUGUAGCGGUGGAAUGCGUAGAUAUCGGGAGGAACACCAGUGGCGAAGGCGGCCUACUGGGCACCAACUGACGCUGAGGCUCGAAAGUGUGGGUAGCAAACAGGAUUAGAUACCCUGGUAGUCCACACCGUAAACGAUGAUUACUAGGUGUUGGAGGAUUGACCCCUUCAGUGCCGCAGUUAACACAAUAAGUAAUCCACCUGGGGAGUACGACCGCAAGGUUGAAACUCAAAGGAAUUGACGGGGGCCCGCACAAGCAGUGGAGUAUGUGGUUUAAUUCGACGCAACGCGAAGAACCUUACCAAGUCUUGACAUCCCUUGACGAUGCUGGAAACAGUAUUUCUCUUCGGAGCAAGGAGACAGGUGGUGCAUGGUUGUCGUCAGCUCGUGUCGUGAGAUGUUGGGUUAAGUCCCGCAACGAGCGCAACCCUUAUGGUCAGUUACUACGCAAGAGGACUCUGGCCAGACUGCCGUUGACAAAACGGAGGAAGGUGGGGAUGACGUCAAAUCAUCAUGCCCUUUAUGACUUGGGCUACACACGUACUACAAUGGCGUUAAACAAAGAGAAGCAAGACCGCGAGGUGGAGCAAAACUCAGAAACAACGUCCCAGUUCGGACUGCAGGCUGCAACUCGCCUGCACGAAGUCGGAAUUGCUAGUAAUCGUGGAUCAGCAUGCCACGGUGAAUACGUUCCCGGGCCUUGCACACACCGCCCGUC